rnacentral:rRNA from 1 species
UACGGAGGGGCUAGCGUUGUUCGGAAUUACUGGGCGUAAAGCGCGCGUAGGCGGCUUUGUAAGUCAGAGGUGAAAGCCUGGAGCUCAACUCCAGAACUGCCCUUGAUACUGAGGAUCUUGAGUUCGGGAGAGGUGAGUGGAACUGCGAGUGUAGAGGUGAAAUUCGUAGAUAUUCGCAAGAACACCAGUGGCGAAGGCGGCUCACUGGCCCGAUACUGACGCUGAGGCACGAAAGCGUGGGGAGCAAACAGG